rnacentral:rRNA from 1 species
UACGUAGGGUCCGAGCGUUGUCCGGAAUUACUGGGCGUAAAGAGCUCGUAGGUGGUUUGUCGCGUUGUUCGUGAAAACUCACAGCUCAACUGUGGGCGUGCGGGCGAUACGGGCAGACUUGAGUACUGCAGGGGAGACUGGAAUUCCUGGUGUAGCGGUGGAAUGCGCAGAUAUCAGGAGGAACACCGGUGGCGAAGGCGGGUCUCUGGGCAGUAACUGACGCUGAGGAGCGAAAGCGUUGGGAGCGAACAGG